AUGUUUUGGGGACAUAGCAGGGUCCUGUGCAGUGUUUGGUCAGAGGUUCAGACCCAGCAAGAGGAGGAGAAGAAGAGAGAGGGAGCGGUAGGUCUUGUUCAGUGUUUGGUCAGAGGUUCAGACCCAGCAAGAGGAGGAGAAGAAGAGAGAGGGAGCGGUAGGUCUUGUUCAGUGUUUGGUCAGAGGUUCAGACCCAGCAAGAGGAGGAGAAGAAGAGAGAGGGAGCGGUAGGUCUUGUUCAGUGUUUGGUCAGAGGUUCAGACCCAGCAAGAGGAGGAGAAGAAGAGAGAGGGAGCGGUAGGUCUUGUUCAGUGUUUGGUCAGAGGUUCAGACCCAGCAAGAGGAGGAGAAGAAGAGAGAGGGAGCGGUAGGUCUUGUUCAGUGUUUGGUCAGAGGUUCAGACCCAGCAAGAGGAGGAGAAGAAGAGAGAGGGAGCGGUAGGUCUUGUUCAGUGUUUGGUCAGAGGUUCAGACCCAGCAAGAGGAGGAGAAGAAGAGAGAGGGAGCGGUAGGUCUUGUUCAGUGUUUGGUCAGAGGUUCAGACCCAGCAAGAGGAGGAGAAGAAGAGAGAGGGAGCGGUAGGUCUUGUUCAGUGUUUGGUCAGAGGUUCAGACCCAGCAAGAGGAGGAGAAGAAGAGAGAGGGAGCGGUAGGUCUUGUUCAGUGUUUGGUCAGAGGUUCAGACCCAGCAAGAGGAGGAGAAGAAGAGAGAGGGAGCGGUAGGUCUUGUUCAGUGUUUGGUCAGAGGUUCAGACCCAGCAAGAGGAGGAGAAGAAGAGAGAGGGAGCGGUAGGUCUUGUUCAGUG